CUUUGUCAAGCCCACCCGAAAAACUCUCGCAUUCUUUCAGACACGGCUCAGUGCAUCGACCUCUCACACGCCGUCGAUCUCUUUAAUUCCAGAUUUUUCUUCCACCCAGAAAAACUCUCUUCCUCUGGAUUUCUCAGACCUUUUCUAGUUAAUUUCUUUGGAUAUUGUUCAAUUUGAUUUUCCAGAUUUGGAUCGUUUGAAUUUGAAAAAGCUGCAAAUUAGGCUUCAAUUUUGGACAUUUGGUUUUUGUUAUUGAAUGCUGUAUCAGAAGCUUACUUAGUUGAAGGAGAGUGGAUUGAUUGGUAGUGGAGAUGUGGAAUUGAAUCAAGCUCUUCUAGUCUUUCGUUUUGUUUCCAAGUUCUUAUAGUCUUCUUCUUCCGAUUUUGCAGAAUUGGAGGUAUGAAAUUGGGAGCAAAUUGGGAUUGUGAAUUUUUUAGGUUCAGUUAGGUUGUGAAAAAUUGUCUUUUUGGGAUUUCAUUGUGGCAGCAAUCAUGGGUUUAUUGAUCUUAUUGGUGUUUUUCUGGACUUCCCAGUGAUUUAAAACUGUGAAUGAGCACUUUUUUUGAGUUGAUGAAA